rnacentral:lncRNA from 12 species
UUUUUUUUUUUUUUUUUUUUUUUUUUUUUUUUUUUUUUUUUUUUUUUUUUUUUUUUUUUUUUUUUUUUUUUUUUUUUUUUUUUUUUUUUUUUUUUUUUUUUUUUUUUUUUUUUUUUUUUUUUUUUUUUUUUUUUUUUUUUUUUUUUUUUUUUUUUUUUUUUUUUUUUUUUUUUUUUUUUUUUUUUUUUUUUUUUUUUUUUUUUUUUUUUUUUUUUUUUUUUUUUUUUUUUUUUUUUUUUUUUUUUUUUUUUUUUUUUUUUUUUUUUUUUUUUUUUUUUUUUUUUUUUUUUUUUUUUUUUUUUUUUUUUUUUUUUUUUUUUUUUUUUUUUUUUUUUUUUUUUUUUUUUUUUUUUUUUUUUUUUUUUUUUUUUUUUUUUUUUUUUUUUUUUUUUUUUUUUUUUUUUUUUUUUUUUUUUUUUUUUUUUUUUUUUUUUUUUUUUUUUUUUUUUUUUUUUUUUUUUUUUUUUUUUUUUUUUUUUUUUUUUUUUUUUUUUUUUUUUUUUUUUUUUUUUUUUUUUUUUUUUUUUUUUUUUUUUUUUUUUUUUUUUUUUUUUUUUUUUUUUUUUUUUUUUUUUUUUUUUUUUUUUUUUUUUUUUUUUUUUUUUUUUUUUUUUUUUUUUUUUUUUUUUUUUUUUUUUUUUUUUUUUUUUUUUUUUUUUUUUUUUUUUUUUUUUUUUUUUUUUUUUUUUUUUUUUUUUUUUUUUUUUUUUUUUUUUUUUUUUUUUUUUUUUUUUUUUUUUUUUUUUUUUUUUUUUUUUUUUUUUUUUUUUUUUUUUUUUUUUUUUUUUUUUUUUUUUUUUUUUUUUUUUUUUUUUUUUUUUUUUUUUUUUUUUUUUUUUUUUUUUUUUUUUUUUUUUUUUUUUUUUUUUUUUUUUUUUUUUUUUUUUUUUUUUUUUUUUUUUUUUUUUUUUUUUUUUUUUUUUUUUUUUUUUUUUUUUUUUUUUUUUUUUUUUUUUUUUUUUUUUUUUUUUUUUUUUUUUUUUUUUUUUUUUUUUUUUUUUUUUUUUUUUUUUUUUUUUUUUUUUUUUUUUUUUUUUUUUUUUUUUUUUUUUUUUUUUUUUUUUUUUUUUUUUUUUUUUUUUUUUUUUUUUUUUUUUUUUUUUUUUUUUUUUUUUUUUUUUUUUUUUUUUUUUUUUUUUUUUUUUUUUUUUUUUUUUUUUUUUUUUUUUUUUUUUUUUUUUUUUUUUUUUUUUUUUUUUUUUUUUUUUUUUUUUUUUUUUUUUUUUUUUUUUUUUUUUUUUUUUUUUUUUUUUUUUUUUUUUUUUUUUUUUUUUUUUUUUUUUUUUUUUUUUUUUUUUUUUUUUUUUUUUUUUUUUUUUUUUUUUUUUUUUUUUUUUUUUUUUUUUUUUUUUUUUUUUUUUUUUUUUUUUUUUUUUUUUUUUUUUUUUUUUUUUUUUUUUUUUUUUUUUUUUUUUUUUUUUUUUUUUUUUUUUUUUUUUUUUUUUUUUUUUUUUUUUUUUUUUUUUUUUUUUUUUUUUUUUUUUUUUUUUUUUUUUUUUUUUUUUUUUUUUUUUUUUUUUUUUUUUUUUUUUUUUUUUUUUUUUUUUUUUUUUUUUUUUUUUUUUUUUUUUUUUUUUUUUUUUUUUUUUUUUUUUUUUUUUUUUUUUUUUUUUUUUUUUUUUUUUUUUUUUUUUUUUUUUUUUUUUUUUUUUUUUUUUUUUUUUUUUUUUUUUUUUUUUUUUUUUUUUUUUUUUUUUUUUUUUUUUUUUUUUUUUUUUUUUUUUUUUUUUUUUUUUUUUUUUUUUUUUUUUUUUUUUUUUUUUUUUUUUUUUUUUUUUUUUUUUUUUUUUUUUUUUUUUUUUUUUUUUUUUUUUUUUUUUUUUUUUUUUUUUUUUUUUUUUUUUUUUUUUUUUUUUUUUUUUUUUUUUUUUUUUUUUUUUUUUUUUUUUUUUUUUUUUUUUUUUUUUUUUUUUUUUUUUUUUUUUUUUUUUUUUUUUUUUUUUUUUUUUUUUUUUUUUUUUUUUUUUUUUUUUUUUUUUUUUUUUUUUUUUUUUUUUUUUUUUUUUUUUUUUUUUUUUUUUUUUUUUUUUUUUUUUUUUUUUUUUUUUUUUUUUUUUUUUUUUUUUUUUUUUUUUUUUUUUUUUUUUUUUUUUUUUUUUUUUUUUUUUUUUUUUUUUUUUUUUUUUUUUUUUUUUUUUUUUUUUUUUUUUUUUUUUUUUUUUUUUUUUUUUUUUUUUUUUUUUUUUUUUUUUUUUUUUUUUUUUUUUUUUUUUUUUUUUUUUUUUUUUUUUUUUUUUUUUUUUUUUUUUUUUUUUUUUUUUUUUUUUUUUUUUUUUUUUUUUUUUUUUUUUUUUUUUUUUUUUUUUUUUUUUUUUUUUUUUUUUUUUUUUUUUUUUUUUUUUUUUUUUUUUUUUUUUUUUUUUUUUUUUUUUUUUUUUUUUUUUUUUUUUUUUUUUUUUUUUUUUUUUUUUUUUUUUUUUUUUUUUUUUUUUUUUUUUUUUUUUUUUUUUUUUUUUUUUUUUUUUUUUUUUUUUUUUUUUUUUUUUUUUUUUUUUUUUUUUUUUUUUUUUUUUUUUUUUUUUUUUUUUUUUUUUUUUUUUUUUUUUUUUUUUUUUUUUUUUUUUUUUUUUUUUUUUUUUUUUUUUUUUUUUUUUUUUUUUUUUUUUUUUUUUUUUUUUUUUUUUUUUUUUUUUUUUUUUUUUUUUUUUUUUUUUUUUUUUUUUUUUUUUUUUUUUUUUUUUUUUUUUUUUUUUUUUUUUUUUUUUUUUUUUUUUUUUUUUUUUUUUUUUUUUUUUUUUUUUUUUUUUUUUUUUUUUUUUUUUUUUUUUUUUUUUUUUUUUUUUUUUUUUUUUUUUUUUUUUUUUUUUUUUUUUUUUUUUUUUUUUUUUUUUUUUUUUUUUUUUUUUUUUUUUUUUUUUUUUUUUUUUUUUUUUUUUUUUUUUUUUUUUUUUUUUUUUUUUUUUUUUUUUUUUUUUUUUUUUUUUUUUUUUUUUUUUUUUUUUUUUUUUUUUUUUUUUUUUUUUUUUUUUUUUUUUUUUUUUUUUUUUUUUUUUUUUUUUUUUUUUUUUUUUUUUUUUUUUUUUUUUUUUUUUUUUUUUUUUUUUUUUUUUUUUUUUUUUUUUUUUUUUUUUUUUUUUUUUUUUUUUUUUUUUUUUUUUUUUUUUUUUUUUUUUUUUUUUUUUUUUUUUUUUUUUUUUUUUUUUUUUUUUUUUUUUUUUUUUUUUUUUUUUUUUUUUUUUUUUUUUUUUUUUUUUUUUUUUUUUUUUUUUUUUUUUUUUUUUUUUUUUUUUUUUUUUUUUUUUUUUUUUUUUUUUUUUUUUUUUUUUUUUUUUUUUUUUUUUUUUUUUUUUUUUUUUUUUUUUUUUUUUUUUUUUUUUUUUUUUUUUUUUUUUUUUUUUUUUUUUUUUUUUUUUUUUUUUUUUUUUUUUUUUUUUUUUUUUUUUUUUUUUUUUUUUUUUUUUUUUUUUUUUUUUUUUUUUUUUUUUUUUUUUUUUUUUUUUUUUUUUUUUUUUUUUUUUUUUUUUUUUUUUUUUUUUUUUUUUUUUUUUUUUUUUUUUUUUUUUUUUUUUUUUUUUUUUUUUUUUUUUUUUUUUUUUUUUUUUUUUUUUUUUUUUUUUUUUUUUUUUUUUUUUUUUUUUUUUUUUUUUUUUUUUUUUUUUUUUUUUUUUUUUUUUUUUUUUUUUUUUUUUUUUUUUUUUUUUUUUUUUUUUUUUUUUUUUUUUUUUUUUUUUUUUUUUUUUUUUUUUUUUUUUUUUUUUUUUUUUUUUUUUUUUUUUUUUUUUUUUUUUUUGCGUAACAAUUAUAUUUAUUUAUUUAUUUAUUUGCAUUAUGGUAAUGCAAUCUAGAAGGAAAAAUGUGUUUAAUUCUGAAAAUAUUCAAGCCAAUUCUAUAUAUAUAUAUAUAUUAAAUACUGUUUUAAAUACUAAAUACUGUUAUAAAUAUAUAAAUUAA